UCACCGUGCACAAUGCGAAAGCGGCAUGGCUCAUCCUGUAGAGCGCUCAAUAUGACCUAAAGGCUAUGGCCUUUAGGUCAUAUUGAGCGCUCUACAGGAUGAGCCAUGCCGCUUUCGCAUUGUGCACGGUGA